AAUCCGUUUAUUGCUCUUUGCGAUGGCUCUUAUCCUGAUUCACCAACCGUCUCUUUAAUUCCCGAUAGCCAUGGCUCUUCUCCUCACACGAUUAUUCCGAUUUCGUCUGAGGGAGCUAAAUUGAUCGAUUUCGUGCUAAACGUUGUUAGAAAAGAAGCUGAGAAUUGCGACUGCUUACAAGCUCAGAUCCGUACUCGACCAUUCUGGUGAUGGUUUUGGCCGCCCCGAAGACAUUUCUGAUCAGCGGUGUGAUCAUGGUUCUUGGAUUAUGCUUGUACCCAUUCUUAACACUCGUUAAGGAGAACCUGAGUUGAAAUAUGUAAAAACCUGAGUAAAUUCAUUCAGUUUUGUUGAUCUCU